AGGGAAUAAUUGGGUCAAUGGGCGUAAGCCUGAACCAGCCAAGUCGCGUGAGGGAAGACGGUCCUACGGAUUGUAAACCUCUUUUGCCGGGGAGCAACGGGGUCCUUGCGAGGGCCUUAUGAGAGUACCCGGAGAAAAGCAUCGGCUAACUCCGUGCC
rnacentral:rRNA from 1 species